GGUUACUGCUAUCGGUGUUCGCCUAAGCCAUGCGAGUCAUAUGUUCUUCGGAACAUGGCGUACUGCUCAGUAACACGUGGAUAACCUGCCCUUGGGUCCGGCAUAACCCCGGGAAACUGGGGAUAAUUCCGGAUAACGCAUAUAUGCUGGAAUGCUUUCUGCGUAAAAUGGAUUCGUCUGCCCAAGGAUGGGUCUGCGGCCUAUCAGGUAGUAGUGGGUGUAAUGUACCUACUAGCCGACGACGGGUACGGGUUGUGAGAGCAAGAGCCCGGAGAUGGAUUCUGAGACAUGAAUCCAGGCCCUACGGGGCGCAGCAGGCGCGAAAACUUUACAAUGCGGGAAACCGUGAUAAGGGGACACCGAGUGCCAGCAUCAUAUGCUGGCUGUCCGGGUGUGUAAAAUACACCCGUUAGCAAGGGCCGGGCAAGACCGGUGCCAGCCGCCGCGGUAACACCGGCGGCCCGAGUGGUGAUCGUGAUUAUUGGGUCUAAAGGGUCCGUAGCCGGUUUGGUCAGUCCUCCGGGAAAUCUGAUAGCUCAACUAUUAGGCUUUCGGGGGAUACUGCCAGGCUUGGAACCGGGAGAGGUAAGAGGUACUACAGGGGUAGGAGUGAAAUCUUGUAAUCCCUGUGGGACCACCUGUGGCGAAGGCGUCUUACCAGAACGGGUUCGACGGUGAGGGACGAAAGCUGGGGGCACGAACCGGAUUAGAUACCCGGGUAGUCCCAGCCGUAAACGAUGCUCGCUAGGUGUCAGGCAUGGCGCGACCGUGUCUGGUGCCGCAGGGAAGCCGUGAAGCGAGCCACCUGGGAAGUACGGCCGCAAGGCUGAGACUUAA
rnacentral:rRNA from 1 species